rnacentral:rRNA from 1 species
UACAGAAAGAGCAAGCGUUAAUGAUCUUAACUGAGUGUAAAGCGCACGUAGGUCGAUGAUCUUGGAAAGACUAAAUUGAUAAUUGCUGUAAAUUAAGGUAGGCAUUUUUAGUACCAAUCAUCUUGAGAUAAGUAUAGAUCAAUAGUACACGUUAGGAAGAUUUAAUAAAUCCCAUAUCUAACGGAGACUACCUAUAGCGAAGGCAUAUGAUCAAACUUAAUCUGACACUUAGGUGCGAAAGCUUAGGUAGCAAAGCGG